AGGAGCACAACACAUCCCAGCUACGGUUGGGAGUGGGCCUGGUUUAACAACCGUAUGUGUUGUUGCCGGGCUUGCUCAAGGAAUUGUGGAACUACUGGUUUAUGUGAACGCUGUGGUGGCGCUGCCGCCGGCUAGUACUGCGAAGCUUGCUUCGCGUGGAACGUUGGCUCGCAGGUCGGAUGGGGUUCAUGUUCCUGGCACACUGUUGGGUCCUGAGGCAACACGCCUCAGGGCUUACGCCCUGAAACGUUGUGUGUUUCUGGUGUGGUGUUUGAGAACUGUAGAGUGGAUGCGAGCAUCUUUGU
rnacentral:misc_RNA from 1 species